rnacentral:rRNA from 1 species
GGUUUAAUUCGAUGCAACACGAAGAACCUUACCAGGGCUUAGACAUACUGGAAGUAGUGAACCGAAAGGGGAACGACCUGUCAAGUCAGGAGCCAGCACAGGUGCUGCAUGGUUGUCGUCAGCUCGUGCCGUGAGGUGUAGGGUUAAGUCCCAUAACGAGCGCAACCCUUGUUGCCAGUUAAUUUCUCUGGCGAGACUGCCCCGCAAAACGGGGAGGAAGGCGGGAUGACGUCAAAUCAGCAUGGCCUUUAUGCCCUGGGCCACACACACGCUACAAUGGGUGGUACAAUGGGUUGCAAUGGAGCGAUCCGGAGCUAAUCCCCAAAACCAUCCCCAGUUCGGAUUGCAGGCUGAAACUCGCCUGCAUGAAGUCGGAGUUGCUAGUAAACGCAUAUCAGCAUGGUGCGUUGAAUACGUUCUCGGGCCUU